rnacentral:rRNA from 1 species
GAUGAACGUUGGCGGCGUGCCUAACACAUGCAAGUCGAACGGAGAUAGCAAUAUCUAAGUGGCGCACGGGUGAGUAACACGUAGCUUAUCUGCCUCAAAGAGAGGGAUAACGUCUCGAAAGAGACGCUAAUACCUCAUAAGCUCCCGACCUAUAGAGGGUUGAGAGAAAAGGAGCAAUCCGCUUUGAGAUGAGGCUGCGGCCCAUCAGCUAGUUGGGGUGGUAAAAGCACACCAAGGCGACGACGGGUAGGGGACCUGAGAGGGUGACCCCCCACACUGGGACUGAGACACGGCCCAGACUCCUACGGGAGGCAGCAGUGAGGAAUAUUGCACAAUGGGCGAAAGCCUGAUGCAGCGACGCCGCGUGGGUGAAGAAGGUUUUCGGAUCGUAAAACCCUUUUCUGUGUGACGAGAGAGGACGGUAGCACAGGAAUAAGUCUCGGCUAACUACGUG